rnacentral:rRNA from 1 species
UACGAGAGGCCCAAACGUUAUUCGGAUUUACUGGGCUUAAAGAGUUCGUAGGCGGUCCGUCAAGUGGGGUGUGAAAGCCCUCGGCUCAACCGAGGAAUUGCGCUCCAAACUGUCGGGCUCGAGGGAGAUAGAGGUGAGCGGAACUGAUGGUGGAGCGGUGAAAUGCGUUGAUAUCAUCAGGAACACCAGAGGCGAAGGCGGCUUACUGGGUCUCUUCUGACGCUGAGGAACGAAAGCUAGGGGAGCAAACGGG